rnacentral:lncRNA from 1 species
CAGGGACCCUGCUGCCCGCACAUUGUACUAAUAUUAGUUACCUAUCAGCAGCCCUCCCCUUAUGAGGGGCGAUGGAUUUACCCUGUUGCCUGGAGACCAGACUCAAACAGAGACCCAGAGAGAGCACCGGGCGCUGGCUCCAGAGGGGUUAAGAACGAGUCCUGGAGCAGAUAACUCCUGGAAUGGAUAAUGGAGCCGAGUAAUCCCAGGAAAGUGAAGCCUCAGCUCGAGCUGGGGGGAGAUGACAGGAAGAAGGCAGCGUCUGUGGACCCCCUCCCCAGGCAGGACUUACCUCCCGCCCCAGUGCUCAGGCUGCCUCCUGCUGGAUUAAUAUUUCUCAACAUAUAAUUAAAUAUUGUUUUUGUGAUUAAUCACUAUGUUUAAAUUAUAUUUAAUUUGUAGCAAUGAGAAUACAUAAUGCAUAUCAGGUAUUUAUAUUCUGAAUCAUAACUGUAGCAAAAUUACAGUUUUGAAGUCGCCACCAAAAUAAUUUUUUGGUUUGGGGUCACUGCAACAUGAGAAACUGUAUUGCAGGGUUACAGCAUUAGAAAGGUUGAGAACCACUGCUCUAGAUUGUUCUGAGGAUCAAGAAUUAAUAUACAUAAAAUACUUUGCAAAAUUUAAAGCAUUAUAUAAAUGUUAGUUCUUACUAUAGCUGAUACUAGGAGGGGAGAUAACUUCUUGUAUCAUUUACUUCUUUUAAGAUUUGGAGCUGUGGAAGCAGAAACAAGAGAAGAUACACAGACCCACAAGACUCCUGAGUCUUGGUCUCAAGACUCUAUGGAAGGAGUGAAUAUGGAAAUUGAACAUUGUUUGAACCUAAUCCUGAUUGGAGCACUGAGCCACCUGUACUUGCUGUUCAGAGACCCCAACCAAUGACCUAAGUCCAUGUUGGCAAACCUAUGGCACGGAGGAGGCUGUUCCCCUUGACUUCUCUACACACAUCUGAAGACAUCUCUCUCAUCACCUGCCCCUCUGCCCAGCAGCCCAAUGAUAGUACUUCCUCCCUCCCCUGUCUGGGGUAAGGCAGGAGGUUUACAGGUGGAGUGAAGGUUGCAAUUUGGGCACUCAGUCUCUAAAAGGUUCACCAUCACUGACCUAACUUAUGUCUAAAGAUAAAUGUAAAGAGUUUUCUCAUAACUGUGAAUCUAAGUAACUCAUAUAUCUUAUAUGAAAGGUAGCCCCAUUCUAAUCAAAUAGUUAUUGUUUCUAUGUUCUUUUGAUUGUGUAGAACUACUUGGCAGGAAUUAUGAGACAUUUCAGUCCAUAUCACUAACACCAAAAGUCUAGUCCAAAGAGUCAAUGAGCCAACGAUAAAAGAAGGAGCAGGUGUUAUUCCUUAACCACUAUAAAGAAUAUGUGAAAGAUCAUUAAAAAAGGCAAAUGUUUUGCCUUUGAAGA